CGCCAGACUCCUACGGGAGGCAGCAGUGGGGGAUAUUGCACAAUGGGGGAAACCCUGAUGCAGCGACGCCGCGUGGGCGAAGAAGUAUUUCGGUAUGUAAAGCCCUAUCAGCAGGGAAGAAGAAAUGACGGUACCUGAGUAAGAAGCACCGGCUAAAUACGUGCCAGCAGCCGCGGUAAUACGUAUGGUGCAAGCGUUAUCCGGAUUUACUGGGUGUAAAGGGAGCGCAGGCGGCACGGCAAGCCUGAUGUGAAAGCCCGCGGCCCAACCGCGGGAAUGCAUUGGGAACUACCGGGCUGGAGUGCCGGAGAGGUAAGUGGAAUUCCUAGUGUAGCGGUGAAAUGCGUAGAUAUUAGGAGGAACACCAGUGGCGAAGGCGGCUUACUGGACUGUAACUGACGUUGAGGCUCGAAAGCGUGGGGAGCAAACAGGAUUAGAUACCCGAGUAA
rnacentral:rRNA from 1 species